rnacentral:rRNA from 1 species
UACGUAGGCAGCGAGCGUUGUUCGGAAUUACUGGGCGUAAAGAGUGUGUAGGUGGUGUUCCCAGUCUGUUGUGAAAUCUCCCGGCUUAACUGGGAGGGUGCAGCGGAAACUAGAAUGCUAGAGGGUGGGAGAGGUAAGCGGAAUUCCUGGUGUAGCGGUGAAAUGCGUAGAUAUCAGGAGGAAGACCGGUGGCGAAGGCGGUCUGCUGGGCAGUUUCUGACACUGAGGCGCGACAGCGUGGGGAGCAAACAGG